UCCUUUGUGGUCUAUGGUUAGGAUACUCGGCUCUUAACCGAGAGAAUCGGGUUCGAGUCCCGGCAACGGAA
rfam:Nelumbo nucifera unplaced genomic scaffold scaffold00089, whole genome shotgun sequence